rnacentral:rRNA from 1 species
GACGAACGCUGGCGGCGUGCUUAACACAUGCCAGUCGAACGGUAAGGCUCCAGCUUGCUGGGGUACACGAGUGGCGAACGGGUGAGUAACACGUGGGUGACCUGCCCUGCACUUCGGGAUAAGCCUGGGAAACUGGGUCUAAUACCGGAUAGGACCAUGGUGUGGAUACUGUGGUGGAAAGUUUUUUCGGUGUGGGAUGGGCCCGCGGCCUAUCAGCUUGUUGGUGGGGUAAUGGCCUACCAAGGCGGCGACGGGUAGCCGGCCUGAGAGGGUGGACGGCCACAUUGGGACUGAGACACGGCCCAGACUCCUACGGGAGGCAGCAGUGGGGAAUAUUGCACAAUGGGCGGAAGCCUGAUGCAGCGACGCCGCGUGGGGGAUGACGGCCUUCGGGUUGUAAACUCCUUUCACCAUCGACGAAGGGUUUCUGACGGUAGAUGGAGAAGAAGCACCGGCUAACUACGUG